rnacentral:rRNA from 1 species
GACGAACGCUGGCGGCGUGCCUAAUACAUGCGAGUUGAGCGCUGAAGGUUGGUACUUGUACCGACUGGAUGAGCAGCGAACGGGUGAGUAACGCGUGGGGAAUCUGCCUUUGAGCGGGGGACAACAUUUGGAAACGAAUGCUAAUACCGCAUAAAAACUUUAAACACAAGUUUUAAGUUUGAAAGAUGCAAUUGCAUCACUCAAGGAUGAUCCCGCGUUGUAUUAGCUAGUUGGUGAGGUAAAGGCUCACCAAGGCGAUGAUACAUAGCCGACCUGAGAGGGUGAUCGGCCACAUUGGGACUGAGACACGGCCCAAACUCCUACGGGAGGCAGCAGUAGGGAAUCUUCGGCAAUGGACGAAAGUCUGACCGAGCAACGCCGCGUGAGUGAAGAAGGUUUUCGGAUCGUAAAACUCUGUUGGUAGAGAAGAACGUUGGUGAGAGUGGAAAGCUCAUCUAGUGACGGUAACUACCCAGGAAGGGACGGCUAACUACGUGCCAGCCGCCGCGGUAA